AUCGCCUCCUGAUCAUAUAAACAUAGGAGGUCCCGCCUGCCCUGUGAUCAUGAAUUUAACGGCCGCGGUAUUUUGACCGUGCAAAGGUAGCGCAAUCACUUGUCUCUUAAAUGGAGACCUGUAUGAAUGGCAUAACGAGGGCUUAACUGUCUCCUCUCCCCAGUCAAUGAAAUUGAUCCCCCCGUGCAGAAGCGGGGAUAAGAACAUAAGACGAGAAGACCCUGUGGAGCUUUAGACAAUAAGUAGACCCUGUUAAUAAUACAUAAAAAUAUGAAAAAACAAAAGAUGCUUCUACUUGGCAUGUCUUUGGUUGGGGCGACCGCGGGGAAAAGAAAAACCCCCAUGUGGAACACGAAUACCCUCUAUUAAAUUAAGAACCACAAUUCGAAAUAACAGAACAUCUGACCUAAGCUGAUCCGGUAGAUGUUACCGAUCAACGAAACCAGUUACCCCAGGGAUAACAGCGCAAUCCUCUCCCAGAGCCCAUAUCGACAAGAGGGUUUACGACCUCGAUGUUGGAUCAGGACAUCCUAAUGGUGCAGCCGCUAUUAAGGGUUCGUUUGUUCAACGAUUAAAGUCCUACGUGAU
rnacentral:rRNA from 1 species